rnacentral:rRNA from 1 species
UUGACCUCGGAUCAGGUAGGGAUACCCGCUGAACUUAAGCAUAUCAAUAAGCGGAGGAAAAGAAACCAACAGGGAUUGCCUGAGUAACGGCGAGUGAAGCGGCAACAGCUCAAAUUUGAAAUCUGGCUCUUUCAGGGCCCGAGUUGUAAUUUGUAGAGGAUGCUUCGGCGUCAGCUCCGGUCUAAGUUCCUUGGAACAGGACGUCAUAGAGGGUGAGAAUCCCGUAUGUGAUCGGUUGCCUUUGCCAUGUGAAGCUCCUUCGACGAGUCGAGUUGUUUGGGAAUGCAGCUCUAAAUGGGAGGUAAAUUUCUUCUAAAGCUAAAUACCGGCCAGAGACCGAUAGCGCACAAGUAGAGUGAUCGAAAGAUGAAAAGCACUUUGGAAAGAGAGUCAAAAAGUACGUGAAAUUGUUGAAAGGGAAGCGCUUGCAACCAGACCUGCCUGCAGUUGUUCAUCCGGGCUUUUGCCCGGUGCACUCUUCUGCUGUCAGGCCAGCAUCAGUUCGGGCGGUCGGAUAAAGGCUUUGGGAAUGUAGCUCCUCUCGGGGAGUGUUAUAGCCCGUUGCGAAAUGCGGCCAGCCUGGACUGAGGUCCGCGCUCGGCUAGGAUGCUGCGUA